rnacentral:rRNA from 1 species
CAGCCCUUGACAUGGUCGGACGGUUUCCAGAGAUGGAUUCCUUCACUUCGGUGACUGACACACAGGUGCUGCAUGGCUGUCGUCAGCUCGUGUCGUGAGAUGUUGGGUUAAGUCCCGCAACGAGCGCAACCCUCGCCUUUAGUUGCCAUCAUUUAGUUGGGCACUCUAGAGGGACUGCCGGUGAUAAGCCGGAGGAAGGUGGGGAUGACGUCAAGUCUUCAUGGCCCUUACGGGCUGGGCUACACACGUGCUACAAUGGCGGUGACAGAGGGCAGCUAGUCCGCGAGGACAUGCUAAUCCCUAAAAGCCGUCUCAGUUCGGAUUGCACUCUGCAACUCGAGUGCAUGAAGUUGGAAUUGCUAGUAAUCGCAGAUCAACACGCUGCGGUGAAUA